GACGAACGCUGGCGGCGUGCCUAACACAUGCAAGUCGAACGAUGAAGUUCCUUCGGGAAUGGAUUAGUGGCGAACGGGUGAGAAACACGUGAGAAACCUGCCUUUCAUUUUGGGAUAACUCCGGGAAACCGGAGCUAACACCGAAUACUCCGUCUCGGCGGCAUCGCUGAGCCGGGAAAAAAUUAUGAUGAAAGAUGGUCUCGCGGCCUAUCAGCUAGUUGGUGAGGUAAUGGCUCACCAAGGCGACGACGGGUAGCCGGCCUGAGAGGGCGACCGGCCACACUGGGACUGAGACACGGCCCAGACUCCUACGGGAGGCAGCAGCGGGGAAUAUUGGGCAAUGGGCGCAAGCCUGACCCAGCGACGCCGCGUGAGGGAUGAAGGCCUUCGGGUUGUAAACCUCUUUCAGUAGGGAAGAAGCGAAAGUGACGGUACCUAAAGAAGAAGCACCGGCUAACUAUGUGCCAGCCGCCGCAGUAA
rnacentral:rRNA from 1 species